UGAUUUGGCAGUUUUAUAUGCAGUGGAUUCAUAAAGCUGAGAACAUGGGUACAGAGAAAGGAGCAUGUCCUAGCGUUUAGAAGGUGAGGCAGAGGCAAAAUCAAUAGGACAAGGUAUUGGAAUUGUGGAGAUGAAGAGAGCUCCUGGAGAAGGUAAAGUGACAGCUUGCAAUACUCUGGCCACUCCCUGGGUAAGGGAGCUGACUUCUAAGGAAAUGCCUUAUGCACACAAGCUCUUCUCUCCCUUUUCUACUGCCCUUGUCCUUUCAAUAAUAGGAGGAAACAACUAGUAAAAAUGGUACUUCUGAUUUUCCCAAGAGAACCACCAACUUUUAGGUCAGAAAUAGAUUCUGAACCCUUGUGGGCAGAAUUUUUCCUAUAAUCCCUGAAGUGAUUAAGAGCAUGUAUUUCAGCAGAUAGCGUGCCGUCAAAGUCACAUUUUCAAUUAUUCCCUUUGAAUUCGCACACAUUUACACUUGCUUUUCAGUAGAAAUUUGUUGAGCUUUUUACAGUAUUUAUCCCUUAUUUAAUGCAAAAUGUGUGCAACAUUCCAGAUUGCCUGUGAUUGUUUUUUCAUUUACUGUGUUCAGGAGGGACAGGCAGUAACACAAGACCACAAGUAACACAAGAGUCUGAGAAAAGAAGAGUGCUGAAUGUGGUUUUACCCUCUUUCCACCACGGGAGAUAUCAGGACACUAAGUAAGAACAUACGAACCAUUUAAAAAGACAAAGUGCAAUCUGCUUGCAGGUUACAUGUGCAAUUGCGAUGGUGAUUACAUGGCACCCUGUAUUCUUACUCCAUAGUUGCUAUGUCAGCAUUUUAAUGUGGUUUAGCCACAAAUCCUCUAAUUUCUCCCUCAUACCUCACUUAAGUUAGAUUUACAGAGCAGUUCCUGUGAAAAUGAACUACAUUUUUCUGUAAAAAAUCAACCUCAGGGUCCAGCUGCAUGAACUCAACAAGCUCUCUCCAAUCCCUUGUGCGGGAAGCAGGGUCAGACCAAAUGUCUGGUCCUCUGGGCAGCUGCAAAGCAUAGAAGUACUUGGGACACUUGGUCCAGGGAAUCACAACAAAUCUGGUCCGAACAAGAACUGCAAAGAGCAUGUGUGUAGGGGCUUCAACACAAAUUGCCCUCGUUAAGAGGUAUGCACACCUGCUGCACAGUUUCUGUUGCUCAGUCUUACCUCACUUACCCUCUUUUGGCUCUCUCUAUGCAAGACAAUAUAGCAUCACAGAGGUGCGAUUUAAUGUCUUUCAAGGACCAUUGACCUUCAUCACCCUGGCAAACUCACACUGCAAACACUGUGGAUGUUAACAGCAAGAUGAACUUAUCUCAUCAAAGCAAAGAAUAAUUCUGAAGAUCCAUCAACUAGUCCUUCUCCAUCUGUACUGUCUGUGGCUUUCUAACAGCACACACGUCUUCGUAAACCAAUCAGAUUUUCCCAACCACUUCUUUUUAGGUUUCUAAUGCCAGAGCCUCUGUGAAGAGCUUCACGUGGGGCUGUCUCCAGCUGGCCAUUUGGUAAGGUCCUGCUCUCAGUCCAUGCAGAUAGACAGAAACAGAGGGGAAGAACCAGAAGCUGGGACUUUUCUUGACUGUUGGUGGCAUCCAGCUCUCUGUUUGCCAUUCGAUGCAUACGUUGAAUUUGUGCCAGCUCAAGUGUCUUUUUGGCCACAGGAUCCUAUGGGGAUGAGACCAUAAAAAUGCUGAGAUGUAUGCAAAGACACAAUGACCCUCUUCACUUAGUGGGAGUCCUAGUGUGGUACACAGUGACAGGUUCCAUACUGAGCUCUGUCUGCCUGCAGUGAAGCAAAUGAGGCAAUGGGAAGAUCCUUUCUGGGAGAGGGAACUCUAAUGUGGUAAUCUGUAGUGAAACAGGGUGGUGUACACAAAGGGCUCACCUGUAAUCACAGUGAUUCAAAUGAAAUUAUCUCUUGGUGGUCAUAUUCACUUUUUGAAUCUGCUGGAGCAAUACGUUUCUGAUACAUCCAGACUCAGACAACAUGUUGACUUUCAAUGUCGUGAUCUGUGCAGGGCAGGGUUGCCUUCCUAAUAGAGUAGAACAGCCACAGAGGAGCACACAGGGACAGCAAAGAGUUUCUGUUUUGAAGAUGCAGUUUUUUUGACACCUCUGCACUGAUUUGUGAGCAUGUCUGGGGGUUACUAUGUGAAAUUCUUCCUUGAAAUUCAGAUGAGGUUCCUCCCAGAUUUCAGACUGAGACUCAUUGUAGUUAUAAUAUCUACACUAUAUGAGACAUCAUUUAUUCGCAAAAGGGAAAUGAAUUCUGUGCUUGUAUUUGAUAGGCAAUGCAUGUGUUACUCUCUAUUUGCACCACACUGCAUAACACUUUAUACACAGGCUGUAAAAGAUUGACUCAGAGAGGUUAUGGGGACAAAAGUCAGAAACACAAUCCUGAAUCUUUCUCUGCCAUGCUAUCAAAUCAACUAUUUUUUGUCUGUAUAAACCAUUUCAUUUUAAAACCAAGCCCCAGGAAUGUGGACCUGCGACGAAAAAAUAUAAUUCAAUUUGAAGCAGAAUAUUUGGUGAUAAAAGUACUCCCAGGAAUAAUAUUUAGAGAAGGAUUACAUUCUUCCAUACUUUAGUUGCUUGCUUUCUUCUGACAAAGUAAACAAAGACACCUGUAUAUUUAACUCAGUACAUCAGAAAUGAUGACUGAUGAGGUUUCCUAAGUGUUUCUUUAUACAGACACAUACACUCACACACUUUAACAUAGCUGUAAGGUUAUUUGUAAUUUUGUUUCAGUUUUGUUAAACUCCAAGAUUGCUAACUUUCAGUGUAAUAAAGUCACAGGAGGUGCGAGAUAUUCAUUACAUAUGUUAAUUAGCUGACCCGCAGAAUCUUGGUCACUAUUGAAAACUCAUUUACAUGUGGCUUUUUAUGACACUAGAGUACCUUGGCAAUAACAAGUCUGUAACUGAAUUAUGCAAUAGAUUCUUCAUACUGUGUCUUGUAAAUGUUUUCAUUUUUCUGAAUAAUCUGCACACUAAUGAAUGCUCUGUGCUACAUCCUUCCAUCCUUCUCCCAGCACUACUUAAAAAUGUAAACUUGAAAUAAUUUAGUGGAAGAAAAGCCUUUUUUCUUACCCCCACCUCUUCCGCCAGUUAACAUACCCUGAAAAGAAGCUAUUUAUUAUUAUUAUUAUUAUUAUUAUUAUUAUUAUUAUUAUUAUUAUUAUUAUUAUUAUUAUUAUUAUUAUUAUUAUUAUUAUUAUUAUUUCCCUACAGAAAUAGCUAAUAAAUUGCAUUUUGCUGGGUGGACAAAAAUCACCAAACAAAUUGCAGUGAAUUUCACGCACUGUAAUCCUACAAACCAUCUAAGGAAAUCAGUGUGAAAAAUGGUGCAGUGCUGUGUUGUUUUGUGUACUUCAUUUCAAGUCCAGACUUUAUCUCAUUAGACAUGGAUGCAAGCUGCAAAUUUUGGAUUCAGGCUUUUUAAAUGAGUGUUCCGAAAGUUCAGAAGUGUGUAUAACCAAGUCGCCUUUUAAAAAAAUUUAUUUUAUUUUUUUUUUCCCCCAAACUGUUACAUGGAAAUGCUCUUGCUGUGAGGUUUGGAUCAAAUCUGGAGUUUUGGUUCAGUUCUAUUUUUGUUUCUAAUGAACUCAAGUUCACAGCGUUCACAGCCUGCCACAAACCCCUUCAGUUAAACAUGUGCAUUGGUAAAAAGUGCAGAAGCCUUGGCUCAAAUUGAGCGUUGCCUAAUGGAAGCCAGCAGAACUGUGGGUUGGAACAAACUCCCAAGCUCCACUAUAUGAUCACAGUGAACACCUGGACCUGCUGGAAAUUGCAAAAUAAAUGGCAUUUUCAUAGGAACUAUGUAUCAGAAUUGCUUAAAUAGUCAUUGCCCUAGCUCAGGUAAGAAGAGUUGCUCUGAAAUGCUUCUGGUGAUCCAGGAGGGGCCGUCUCAGUCACUGCUCGGCUUCUGAAAGAAAUGAUGUUUCUGGCCACGUUGCUUUUAUAGCUGAAAACAAAGCUCACUGUUGAUUUAUCAAUAAAAUAUGGCAAGAUUUUCCAGCUGCUUUGUACGCUCCAUCAGCCGGCACUAUGUGUGGAGUCAGGACAGGUUGUUUGCCACAGUCGCUUCCUUUUCUGCGUCUUUUCUGAACGCUCACACGGGAAACCUCAUAGUUCUUGGAUCCCAGCAGACCACUCCAUGCAAGUGUCCAAGCCCUGUUUUGCAAGCAGCUUCUUUCCAUCCAUCCUCUGUGACAUCUUCAUUCUGCCACCUUGUUUCUGCACACAAGAAAGAGAGGUCAGAGAGACAUAAGUGAGACAGCAAACUUUUUGGGGGAAGUUUGUGGCCCAGGUGGGAGUCCUAUCCUUCAUGUGCUGCUAGUUUUCUUAAAAGCUAGGGUACCUUUAAUGGUGAUGUUGCAAACUGGUGUAUGCCUCAAACACACUGAGAAGGGCCUUAUAUGCCAGCUAUGGGGGGCUGGCUUACGGGAGUUUGUGUUGAGAAGAGUCAGAAAGAAAAUAUCAUUUUUUUCCAUGCCACGCCAUAAAAUCAACUGUUUUUUCUCUGUAUAAACAAUUUCAUCUUAGAACCAAGUCCCAGGAAUGUGGACCUGUGAUGAAAAUAUAUAAUUCAAUUUGAAGCUGAACAUUUGGUGAUAAAAGUAUUCCCAGGAAUAAUAUUUAAAGAAAGAUUACAUUCUUCUAUACCUUAGUUGCUUUCUUCCUCUGGCAUAAUAAGUUAAGGUUCUAUGCACAUUUCACCCCAAACACCUCAGCUGGUACUUGAUGAAGUUCACUUGAGAUUUUUGUACAUGCUUCUAAAAUGGCUACCAUAUUAUUUGCCUUUACAUGAAAUAAAUGCAAAGCUUUAAGAUUUGUAGCCUCCUUUGUCACGCAGGAUCCAGAAGAUUUGGGGCUUUGACAGGGUGGUAGGUCUAAACUAAUUCAGGAGACAGCUGUUGACAACUGUGAAGUCUAUUUCGUCUGAAUAGCAAUGCUUGGAAAUAUGUUUGAUUUCCUUUGUGGAAAUGAAAAGAAUCUCACCCAUGCCAUAAAUACUUUCAAACCACUAAGAUUCAUGUGAACCACAGUUGGAGAUGAUUAUGUUUGAGCUGUGCAUGGUUAAGGAGACUACUGAGGGUAUCAGUAACCUGUGCAUUGUGCAGGUCAUUUGGUGGGAGGAAUAGAAAGGACUCUGCAUUUCCCCUCACUGUAUGUCAGUGAACCUCUGGGGUGGUGGUGGACAUAGAAAAGGGACUUUGAUCAUGCGCCUUCAUGCUCCCAGUGUCAGCCUGCACUCACCAGCACCUCAGUAGGAGAAAGAUGCCUCAGAUCUGUGGCAGGCCCAGCAAACCAGGGCAACCCAGACUUCUCCACUCUCUGUGGAAGAGCUGGCUUGGAGCCCCAGUGCCUCUAGUAUGGGGGAGCCUUGGGCAGGCUUGCAUCUCCAUUUCUUUUGAAUUGCACAUGGGACAUCUUGGCAGAAGCUGGAAAGCUGGGCAAACAUAGUCAGCAAAAUCCCUUUAUGGAGUGACCUUGCACAUGAUUAUAAAUCUAUCAAGGGCUUAAGGUAAAGUCAUUCUGACCUGUGUGUCUCUUCUGCCUCCUCAGUGUGAUGACUGAGGAAAAUAACUUUAAGAACUCGAUAUACUUACUUUCAGUCAAAGUUACGUUUUUACGGUGCUACCAAAAUGCUAAACUGGGAGUCUUCUGAAAUUUGGAGCUUCCUGGCAUGGAGACUAUUUUGCCACAAAAUAUGCUCAUCCCAGACCCUAAGCGAACCUCUGAGAUUUUGAAGUUGUAACCAUAGCAAAGAUAACUUUAUGAGUGGAAAAAGCAUUUUGUCAGUGUCAUUUCAGUUCUAAAUGGUGGAAUCUCUAUUUCUUUGAGAUGCGCUGCUCUUUUUGGUCUCAAAGAGGACUUGUUAAUAUCAAAGAAUUCCAGUGGACUGCUUCAGUUAUUAAAGAAAGUCAGGUAUGAUACAUGACUACUCAAAGGGCUUUUGAAAAAUAUCAUGCCAGUAUGACCUUCAAAGAAAAUGUCUGUCUCAAUAAACACUCAACACAGCUGCAACAUCAACCCCUUUUCCUGGGAUCCCAAGGUACUGCAGAAGGUUUCAGGAGGGGAAGGUAUUUGCUUUUCAGCCCAGCUUGAAUUAUUUCUAUAUUAGGUUUUAUUGGAUCUAUAUGUGGCUAUUUUAUGGCUCUUUAAUGUUUACGAUGUAUUUAUUAUCAUUGCUACAUUUUCCCUGCAGCUCUACUGAAGAGGGACUAUCUAAAGAUUGUGAAACUAUUUGUUACUGUAACUUUACAGCCGCUUCAUAUUUUUCAUUUGAAGAGUUCAGCAGUGUGACUGACAGUAAUUAAGUCUCAUUAUGUCCGUUUGAAUUCAUAGUCCCAUAUAAAAUGCAUUUCAAGUUGGGUAAACUGAGUCCAGGAGCAGCCUGGGUAACCAAGCAAGUUUAUGACAGGGUCCAGAAAGGAACCUGAAGAUGGGAGAUCCUUGUUGCCAAUGCCAAGAUGUAAAUUAUGUCACUCAUCAGAUAAAAAUUCUUGCUCCAUUGGUCAAAAAAUUGCCGCUCAAAAUUAGAAGAGUAGUAGUAAAACCCAGCCUGUUUUCUGCUCAGGAGUUUUGGCUGGUGACAAAGGGACAUGGCUUUUGAUUUGGCCCCAGAAGCAGGUCCAGGCUAGCCUAAGUAAGAAGGCAGCGUUGGGGUCAUAUGAGGGAGAAGUGUGUGUGUUGUGCCCAGUGGCUUCAGUAUUCCCUCGACUGCCCCGUACAUAUCAGCCUGGGCUUGACAUCCAUACUUCAUCAUGUGAAGAUAGCCAUGCCAUGAGUCCUGCCCCAGAGAGUCUCCCUGGCUGAAGUCUUUCAUGUGCUUGUCACUUGCCACUUUCCUUUCUGUUCACCAACUCUGAUCUCUUCUGAGUGUCCAGUUGCCCUCUAAUUUCAGUUCUUGCCCUCUAAUUUUAGUCCAUGCCCUCUAAUUCCAGUUCAAACAUUUUUGUUGCUGAGUCAGAUAUCAACACCAAUUUGUUACUUUCCUUCUGUCCUACUAAUUCUCCAUCUUUUAAUAGGAAUAACUCAUACUAAGACCAAAGUAUCACAGAAAAAUCCAGAUGGGAAAGCAUCUCAGGAGGUCCUCUAGUUCAACCUCUGGUCACGGUCUUCUCAAGUAAGAAUGUUCAAUAAGUAAUGGUCAACCACAAUUCAGUUUGGAGGUGCUAAAGUAACCAAGUACUAAAGAGCAUGAAAGAAGCAAAGGUGACUUAACACCACAUGCAGCUUGCUUCCACAUUAAAACAGUUUGCUUAGAUUCACAUUUAAAUGACUGUAAUGACUGUCUGUGGUUUUCUUUUGUUUGUUUUUGUUUGUUUGUGGUGGGUUGUUUUUGUUUGUUUGUGGAUUUUCUUUUUUCCCCUUGUCUUGGGAACAAAUUUGGUCAGAACUUGUCUAGGCCAUCUUGCAAAACUUUGGCACAAACAUAUUCUGAACCUUUAUGACCCUCCAUGAACUCAAUCUCAAACUUAUAAAAGACUUGUUUUCCCCAGUGUCAGCUGUGCGGACACUAUGUUUGAUUGUCACAGAGUGGCUUGCUGGCUUUCAGGGACCCAUCCAUAGAAACUGGCAAAAUUCACAGAAGCCACGAAUGCCAUGCAAAAGCUGAACCUAACAUGAUGAAUGAAGAGGAUUUAGUGAGCAUAGCUAUACUGCUUCCAGGGUGGAAUGGAAGCUUUCUCAGGUAACCUUAUUCCUCUUCCCUUCCAGUCCUGGAUUUUUCUAGGAUGACAUUCUUCUACAUUAAAAAGUUGUGUUUUUUUUUUUUUUUUUCCUGCAGUGGUUAUGCUAUAUAGAUGAAUGAUUCUCUGUUCUGUCUCUAGGUGAUAAUGUCACAUACCUGGUGCCCAGAUGCUGUUUUAAUAUCUGAGGGAGAAUUUGCCCUCUUGUUGAUAAACUAAACAGGAACAUUUUAUGAUUAAAGGUAACGUAUAGAGGACAUAAUAGUUUUAUGCUGAUUAUGAUAUUUCUUUGUGAAACUAAUAACUGUAUUCAAGACUAUCUUCUUUCUACCCCUUCUCUCCUCUUCCCUCCUCUCCCAAACCAUACACACAAAUCCUAAAUUAAGCUGUGUUCCAAGCUCAGACAGCUUCCGUUUGCUGGUUUUCAGCCUGUCAGUAGUUGCAGGCUAAGGCAUUGUAAACAGAGCUUUUCUUAGAAUAUAAUGGCUUGAUAAAAGCAUAUAGUUUCAAAACCACUCAACAAAAUAUUCAUCAGAAGGGAUCUCAUGCUAUUGCUCCCCACAUGUAGUCAAUAUAUCACUUUAACUACAGUGCAUUUACUCUCUGUUUAUCAUCCCUUCUGAAGCCAUGUGGAAUACUCAUCUUCUCUAAUCCUUGUCUAUAGUAUUUCCAAAGUACUUUACAAGCUUGGAGUAAUGGACUUUAAUGCCUUGCAGCAGCUGAGCUGGUAGCAUAUAUGAUACCUUAAAUGUAACAAUCAAAGGAGCAUGCAAGAUUUUGGUAUUUCCGCUGGCUUGCAGAUGUGCAGUAUCCAAGUCCAAAAACUAUAAUGUCAAGUUUAGACUAUAAGUGUUUAAAACAAAAUAAUGUCUCACUGCUCUGUGUCAACACUUCUAUAAUGUGAGAGGGUAUUCUCUGAUAGAGAGAGCACCAGUAUCAAAUAUCAGUUAUCUGAACCCUACAGUAAUUUCUUUUUUGUAUGUGUGUCCACAAAUAACCUUGCUCAAGAUUUAUGUAACGGGAUGUAUUGUUUUAUUAAUCCAGAGCAUGUGGUAUUCUCCAGGUGCUAAGCUUUGAUCUCCUUGCCCUUCUAUGUAUUAAGUUUUCUGCUUCUCAUUGACACUGAUGCUCUUGAUUUAAGGUAAUCCUCUUAUUGUUGGGGACAGGAAAAAAAACAAGUGAACUCUGCAGUGAACCUGGAAUCUUUUUGCUUUGUUUCGUCUCAGUUCUGAUUGAAUCUCCACUAAAUUCAGUUCAACAGAAUCCAGCCACUGCUUUUAGAAGUAAAAGUAUAUCUUUCUGCAACAUUUUAUGGCAUGGAAUGUCGUUUAUGGCACAUUAUAUUACAGUUUGAAAUGCUAGUGUUCACGAACUAGAGGAGCUGUGGGUUUAUAUUAAAACAACAGAGCAGUGUAAAAACAAAAAAAAAAACCCCAAAAAGACAGUUUUCCAUGGCCCUUGGCUGGUAACAGAAGGAAAGAGUGUGAGUGUGAGUGGAAUGGAAGGCAUGAGGCAGGAGAAAGGAGAAUGAGACAGUGAGAAAACUGCUGGGGGAAGAGUCUUUCCAAGUGGGUCAGCCGGCACAGAGGCUGCAGACGAGACAAUGGGCUGAAGAUGCCAAUUCUGAUGUACCACCUGAUGAGCAGCUUCUUCUGGUCACGUUUUCUGUUGCAUCAGGCACUGUGUCCUCAUCUUUUGCCUCCGAUCCAACAUUUUUCUCACCUACCUCGACAAUUUAUUUCACAGGCAUAUGCUGACUUGAGGCAGCUUGGUUCUGGGAAUGGGAGCACCUGGGCUGGAGUUGGUGGAUUGGGCUGGUGCAGGUCAGAGCUGAUGUAUAGCUAGCUCCUUACCCCCCAUGAGCCUGCAGUAUGCCUGGUGUGUUGCCAUGGGAGCUCUGCAGCACUCUGCAAACAUGGGCUUGUCUUCAGGGCCAGCAGGGUGGUCAGGGAGUACUCUAAAGUCAGGGACUGCAAGGUGGGUGAGGACCUCCACUAGAACAUCUACACCACUGUCACUGGGAAUGAGACACUGAUUCCACAUAGAACUGCAGGACGGCAGAGCUCAAAUUUGUCACCUAGUCUAUCUCCAUGCCCCUGCCUAGCACUAGCUAUGCCAGCAUCUUGUUCUGGCAGACGGGUCUCUGGGUCUGUCCUUGGUGAGGUCCCCUGUGUGAGAUAAUGCAUUCUCCCCAGGCAAGACCUCCCAGCAUUUCACUGCCACUGCCAGUAAAAAGGUUCUUCUAACAUUUAACCUCACUUUCUCUUGCUGAUAAUUUAGUUCAUUUACUUUGUUUUGUAUCUUCAGUGGACACAGGGAAGAGCUUAUUUUCUUCCUGUUUGCUGCCACCAUCAAGGUACCUGAAGACUUUUGCUACCGUCUCUCCUUGGUCUUCUCCAACCUAAACAAGAAAGUACUUCAGUCUUUCCCUGAAGAUCACAUUUUUCUGGUCAUUCUAAUGACUUCUUGAAGCAAGAUGAAAUGUUCCUUGAACUGGACACUUACCAGAGCCAAUGGGAAAAGAAGAAUACAUUUAUGAGUCCAGUAGAUUUAAUUCUUCCUAGUCAUUUUGUCUGAACUACACAGCACAGAUGUGUCCUGACAGACAAAUAUGAACCAAAGAGAGUCUCACGAGGCCCCCUCACAGGAGGCCAUUGAUGUACUACAGAGGAGCUUUACUCCAAGAGAGUGAACUAUGAUGGCCUUUAACAUGGGACUGACCAGAACUCCUACUGUUAAUCUGCAAUACAGAUGGGUGAUGUGACUGUUUCGUGGCUGCUCUUCCUCGGUGACCAAAGAGACUCAUCUGUGCUCGUUAACUGAGAUCAACAUGUCUUUGCAGCCUUUCCCUGCUGGCAGGAGCAAUGUGUGAAGAUGAUGAGGGCAAAAUUGCCACCUUUUUUUUUUUGUCUCUUGAGCAUCGGCUAUUAUGACUCAUGACAAGACAGGCUUAGAAAAAGAGUCGUGGGUACUAUCUUGCCAUAAAAAAGUUCUGAAGUCUAUACAUUUUUAUAAUGGACCUGAGCAAAAACAAAUGUUGAAACAUACUGGCCAAUAAAAAUGGGAACACUGGAAGGACAUACAGUACAGUAUUCUGAUACAGUCCACAAUGUAUCAUGUGAAAAAUUUAGGCUGUUCUGGAAAGUCUUAGCUGAGCAGUUAGCUGGACCAAACCAAAAUGAGUAGAAACUUAAAACACAUAUUUCCACAGCCACUGCAGGAUUGUACAAGGAUCAUCGCAGUUAGUUUUUUUUUUUUUUUUUUUUUUUUUUAAAGUGUAGAUUGCUUUCAGUUUUAUGGCGGAGAUACGAUUUCAUUGGACAUUAUUUGGCUUCUCUUAUAUUUCCCUCCAAGAAAUUAAAUGAAAGUUGAACUCUGGGAUCCACCCCUGAGGGGAGGCACAGUGUAUUUAUCCCAGAAGUCUAUUCUGUAGUUCAAUUUUCUGGCCAAUAAAUAAGAAAGAAACCCUAAAGAGGUGCAUCUGUGCUAAGGAAUGUGUGCCUGCUUCGGCUCCUGAUUUUGUUUAGUGUUGAUCUGGAGACAAACAUCUCUUUUCUGAAUGGUCCUUGGGGGUGGUAAACUCCCUGUAUGUAUGUGUUUGUGCUUGCCUUUUUGGAGAGCAAAAGUAGAAAAUGUGAACUCUGGAGCUUAGAAGAUGUAUGGUACUUUUGGGCAAAGAGAAUUCUUUAUCUGCUCCCUCAGAAAGCUCUUAUUUUCUGACUCAAGCGGAUAGGUCCUUGAAACAUUAAUUGAAUCUGACUGAGGUGUUUAAGCUCUCAAAAAUGUCAGUUGUACUUUUUGUACCUUUAUUGAUGUUGAUGUGGCAAAGAGAGGAGGAAGAAGGAAAGAGAGAAAUCAGUGUCCAGGUAACAUCACUCACAAUACAACUUAUACUCAAAGGGGACACUAGCAGUGAACAAAGGGUACUUCUUGCUCAUGUGAAAUAUUUUCCUCCUCUGUCUACCACCUAGCUGACUACUGAUGUUCAGACUAAUUACAGUGUCUCUGACUACUGAUGUUCAGACUAAUUACAGUGUCUCUUCACAUGUCUUUAGGUUUGCCAUCAAAUAGUUCCUGAGUAUGUUUAGAAAUAGAUAAAGGAGGAGUAAGGCUAACCAGGAAAGAAGGAAAAGCACAGCCACCAGCAGGAAAGAAUAUUGAAGAUGUUAGAGGAAGAAAGAGAAGGCAUGAGCAAACCAGUAUAUUGAGGGUCCUCAGAAAGACAUCAAAAGAAGAAAUGAGGAAGUUCUGUGGUAGAUCAGAGCCAAGUUUGGUGGCUGGACAGGGGUUGUGCAAGAAGAAAUCCAUUGAAUAUAAGUAUUUACUCCUCUGACAGAGACCUGAUUCUCUUAGAUAAUAAGAUGUGACUAUAUGUGUGGGAUUUACCAAAUGGGGGACUAUGAAUGGUAGGCAUUCUAGGGAGAUGGUAAACAAGUUAGUUCUUGAAAUAAUGAUUCUUGCUUUUUCUUCAUCUCUCUGAAUUUCUGUACUGCAUUGGAAAAAUAAUAAAGCCCUGUUUUUAGGCAAUGAUGUGAUAGUUAACUCAAUUUGAAGGAGGCUUUGGGUAGGUUCUAGGACUUGGCUUUUGUCACAUUUUAACAGAUACCUCUAGUUUUCUUUUUGCUUAGCUGUUCCCCAUUGUGAUCAAAACUGUUCACUCUCUGCCAUCAGUGUGGAAGGUUUUGUACUUUUGCAAAGGAAGGUAUUAAAAUCACAAGGCUACACCUGUCUGUUUGGUGACAUUGAAAUUCACCAGCUUUGUAUGAUGGAAAUAACUUCUCCCUUGCUUUUGUUUACAUUACACUUUUUUUGAAAAGAGUACCCAGUCCUACACACUGUUGUUCUCCCCUAAUACUGAUGUCACCUGUCAGAGACACUUUGCAAAGAGUCCUCUACACAACUGAGGAAUACUAUUUUGUUAAUUUUACAAUGUCAGUAGUUUGAUUUCUUCCCUUUGUGUCAGUUUUUGUUAGAAUCCCUGGUGUCUAUUACUCCAGAAAAUAAUACGUCUUAUUAUUUUAUUAUAUACUAUUUUAAGAUAGCACCCACCUCUCUAAACUCUAAACUAUUUCUUGCUCACUGCCAUAGUAUACAACAACCAGUGCAGAUGCAUUCCUAUACUUAGAGAGUGAUGUAUUUUAAAUAAAAAUCUUCUAUAGCUGGAAAACUGAGGCACAGAUUGAUGAAGUUACUUUGAGAGAGGAGACUGAGAGGACACAUCAUCAUGGCUACAGCUUCCUCACAAGGGGAGGAGGAGGAGCAGGUGCUGAUCUCUUCUCUCUGGUGACCAGUGACAGAACCUGAGGGAAUGGCAGGAAGGACAUGAGGAAAAGUUUCUUCCUCCAGAGGGUGGUGGAGCACUGGAACAGGCUCUCCAGGGAGGUGUCACAGCCCCAAGCCUGACAGUGUUCAAGAAGAGACUGGAUAACGCCCUCAGACACAUGGUGUGAACUGUGGGGUUGUCAUAUGAAGGGACAGGAGUUGGACUCAAUGAUGCUUGUGGGUCCCUUCCGACUCAGGACAUUCUAUGAUUCUGUGACUGCGGUUAUGUACAAAUUUCAAGAAUUUCAAGGUACAAAAGGAGUUCUGUAUUUUCUUGUGGGCAGCUGAAGUUGGCCACACUGCUACCUGUCCAGAGCGCAGCAUUGUCUAACCCAGAGAAUGCAAACCAUUGGAGUCACAGUCCAGUAUUCUUCUAAGGGUAUUAUCGUCAAUCAAGUAGCGCUGCACAUUUUGCUUAAAGCCUUGGUCCUUGGGGAUAUGUGAUUAUGCAAGACUCUCAGCGUAUCUAUAAAGUAAUAAGUUGCCAGGUCUUGUGGGCACUGAAGGAAGUAUGAAAACGCCAAGUGUGUCCAUUUAACAAAACACAUGGACAACAUAGAUUACUUUUUGUGAGCUGGUCUCAUAAUUUUUGGGGCCUCAAUACAUGCCUACUGGGUGUUUAAGGUUGGCAGAACUGUGAACUGCAAGACCAUCCAUUCCCCGACCCCCUUCUACGGCACACAUGAGAAUAAAUUUAAUUUUUGGUUUCAGAGAGUUUAAAGGAAACAGUAUGUAUUCUCACGUGUCUUCUUGUGUAAUCCCUUUUUAGAAGUAUUCCCCUUACACCAUUUCUAUGAAAGCCUUUCCUUGGAAAUGACUUCUGCAGUGUGUGUGUGCCUCCUGUUCUUUGCCCUAGCUACUACUGCCUCUCUUUAGAUAUUUUCUGGUAUGGACUGAAACAUAAUGGGGUUUAUACCAUAAACAGCGUGAAGUGUGUGCUCUGUUUACGCUAGCAGGCUACUGUUAACCUUUAAUCCUCCCAAAUCAUUCUCAAAACAAUGUGAAACAAUCUAUUUUUACAUUCUUCCCUGUUGUUUGACACUGGUUAAUAUCAUAAACAAAUUUUGCCCAACUUGAGAAGCAAUUAGAGCCUCUUGGGUCAGGGAGUGCAUUAAGGGUGCUGUCUCCACUUGCCUGUACCUUUUCCAGCAUCUAAAAAGGGUGAGUCUGAGUGGGGUGAGUGACUUUGGGGGUGGAGCAGGCACACGCCUUGUUUCGGUGGGAGCCACAGGUUUCCCAGAUGCUGUCCGGGGUGAUGUCCUUCUCCAGCCUGGGACCACUUCAGGAGGUGAAGGGACGCAAACCCGCCCAGUGCGCCUCCCCUGCCGACCCUGACCCCAUUAGGAGCUGACAGCUGCGAAAGACAUAGGAAGCAAUUAAAGGGCACUGUAUUAGUCACAAAGGCCGAUGGGCCCUCUCUUCGAAAGGUGCAGGUCUGCAAAAGAGAUAAAACCGGGAACCUUGAGUCCCGUACCGUGCCGCUCAGAGGCUUUGUGCAAGCCUAUCCUCCUGGAUCCACUUCGGGUUAUUUAUUUACUUAAAGUUUGUUUGAAAACUGGAAGCUACAGGCUACUUACCCAAUUAACCUUAGCACCUGUUUGGCUGGAAACGCUUGCGAGCAGUGUGAACAAGCUGUGGCAAGGCCUUUUUCUUUUUCUUUUUUUAAGAGAAGGGAGCAGACAAAAUAUAUUCCUGACACAAACGUUACUCCAGCCUGCUCUCAGGUCUGUGGUGCUGGCGUUUACUUCUGAUAAUGAUUUAAGUGAAGCUCCUGCUAGCUUCCAGGACUGCUAUAGCAGGGACAAUUGUGAUAUCUAAAUCAAUAGAAUGGCUGUUGUUUUAACUUUUGCCUGCUUCUGUUUUAUUGCCUGAUGGAUUUUGGCUCUCAGUUUUCCUCUUCAGAGGCCUACAAUCCGCACCAAAUGUUUCACAUUACCCAGUGUGAAAAACCUCCUAUUCUUUCAGAUUUUUUACAAGUUCAUACAUCCGUGGAAACCUGAUAUUUCAUAUUUCAUUCUGCUUUGUGAAUGUCAUUGUGAGGGAUGUUGGUUCACAUGCAACAGGCCUCUUCUGUCUUUGAUCAGCUUGACCAAAACUAAUUGUAAAUGGAGAACAAAUGAAAGAAAUAUUUAUAAAUUUCAUGGGAAUUCAGGCAGAGCCUAAGCCUUUCCUAAUGCCUCCAUUCACAGUAAAUGUUUAUUGAAUACUUUUAGUCUACUGUGUACUUCAGCAUUUAUAUAGUGUUAGGUUUUAGCUUGUUCUAAGUGGAUGAAGUAAAAUGACCUCUCCUGCGUCUUUCUUUCUUCCUUCCUUCCUUUCUUAUCUUUUCUCUCCCUCCCAAAUACCCUCCUUUCUUUUGUCUUUACCUUAUAAAACAGACUGUUGGUGGAGGGGAGGAACACCACAGUUGUUGAGUUCCAGAGCCUACAGCUGUAAGAAGGGUAAGAAAGAGGAAAAAAUGACCGUAAAAUUUAAAACAAAUUUUGAGGCACAAAGUGAGUUGGGAAAAAUCAAAUUAAAAUGUUAAAGUUUUGUCCAAAAUAAAGUCAUAAGUGCCCAGAGCCAAGUGAAACAGCUGCUAGGUCAUGCAGGCUAAAUCUGAAAAGGCAACACAACAAAAAGUUUAAUAUGAUGAAGUUAAUCAGAAGUUGCCAGGAUAAAAAAAAACGCAAGCAUUCCUGGUUUUACUUCUCAGACCCUUGUUCUUACAGAGCUGUGCUCUUACAACUUUCCCUGGCUAUAGCAGAGGUUGCUUUACAACGGGAAACUUAAUGCAUCCAAAGUCUUUUGGGGAGUUCCCUGCUUAUCCACUCCUGUAGAUAUUUGACUGUAGCAAGGAUAUUGCAGAGUAGAAGCAAUCUUCUGUAGCCAAGGACUGGGGAAUGCACAGGUCACAGAGCCUCGGGUGUUAUUUGUCACAGAUGCUGUACGCGUUGCUGCUCCCAGUUGCGUGUGCUGCUGGCAGGCACGCACCAUGGCUGCAGACACGCAUGGGGACAGGUGCUGCGCUGCUGCAAAUUGAUGCAGAGGCCAAUGGAAGCUCUAGAGUGAAAUGUGAGAUGCACCAAGCAGAAGUGAGAGCAAAGCUACUCAUUUCAGCCUCUCAUGUCAGCCAAUGUCUUUUACAGCCAAUGUCUUUUACUUACGGAAAAAAAGGAAGGAGCAGAAAGCCUUGGGGGUACCAGGUGAGGAAGUGGAUGUGCAAGUGUAAAGUUUGACACUGGGGAGAGGCAAGGAGGAGGGUUGAUUCUUAUAGGCAGUGUAGAAGGGUGAGGGUAUAAUUAGUCCCUUUUAAAUGUGAAAAGAAAAAAAAAAUAAAAAACCUUAGGCCAACUGCAUGGCUCAGAAUUCAUUACCAUCACCUCACUUCACUCCUGGAGCACAUUCCUUCUCCUCUCCCACAAUUCUUUUAUAUAUAUUCUUUUUGUUUAUAUUUCUCAUCUGUGAGGUUACAGGGGCCAGGAAAAUGCUUUUUUUUUUUCUCUUUGGAGAAUGUCUAACAUUUGUGUGGAGGUGGUGAAGAGGCUUGGAAUGUGCACAAUGGUAAAAUCUUGAACCUAAAAUAAUCAAAGAGGCAAUAGAUUUCUGAGAAAAAAGAUUAUUAAAGAUGGUUCUUUUCCAGUACUCCUAUGUUUGAGAAGGAAAAUAGGGUGAGAACUUGGGAGGAGACGAAAUCCAGAUAGUGUUAUGCUGAGUUUUCCCUGAAUGUAAAGCCUUUCAAUGAUUUUUUUCUUCUUUGAGAAGGCAGUAACACCUUAAAAACAACUUUACUCUGUGAUAUGCAAUCCAGUAUGCUAGGUUUGCCUAAUUCCUGAGUCCCUUGAAAUGAAUAGACAUUUCUGGCAGCCAAACACCACAUGAAUUGUUAAAAAUAAAACACUUGAUAAUCGGUAUUAAAUUAAAUCACAGAGCAGAGAUGGAUGAUGAUUAUGAUCAGGGCUUUAAGUAUUAUUUACCUUCCUACAAAGAGCUUGUCUGGACUUUCACAAACAGGGUAUAUAAAACACUUACUUAGCAUGUAACUUGAGCUAUGAAAAUUGUGUUACAGUUAAGUGUUCUUAAAGCCACAGGCUUUUUGUCACAAUUAAGAGAACAGGGAGGAAGGUGGCAGAGGAAAAUGGAAAUAGCUCAGGGAGCACCCUGCCUUCAGGUUGCUGGCUGCAUGAAUGGCAUUGCAAUGCAGAGAUGUGCAGAAGCUCCUCCAGCACGGAGCUGACAGAGCCACGUCAGAGCAUCCUCAGCAGGGAACCUGCUGGGACACCAUCUUGAAGUCAUGCACUGGUUUGCUGGAACAUGCACCCAUGCUCUGCUUACUUAGGGGUCCUGGUUAUACAAUUUUAACAGCUCUGUUGCUUAUCUGAUGGGAGAUUACGUGCAUAUCUACAGGAGGAGGAAGGAAAAGAUGUCUUUCAUGAGACAGGUGCUUUUGUCUUCCUCACAUCAUGACUUUUCUUGAACUGCUUUGUUAAGUGGGUUAGAAAAACACACAAGGCUAAGUCUGUUUUUGUAGAUUUUACUUGACAGUACAUUUCCCACCUGGUCUUGUAGAUGUCAGGGCUGGGAAAAAACCUCUCAGUACUGAAGCAAGGACAGGGAAGAAACACAGACUCAAGAGAAACUAAAUUAAGUACUUGAAAAACACCCAUACUCCCCUGGAUGAUCAUGCUGGUCUGAAUAAACUCAUUUUACAUGGAUUUUAAAUAGAUGAGGAGUUUGUGCACACCUGAUCAACCCUCUCUUGUCAGAGAGACAGCAGGCCCCACUUACAGAGAGACAACUGCUUAAGCCAACCUCACUUGACUGCUUGAGAUUGUCUGUCCACAUCCUUCAAGGCUGCACACUUUUUUUCCUGAGGACCCUCUUCCUAUUUCAAAGUCCUUUGGCUUUAAAAGUUUUAAAAUAGUUUGUGCAAGAAUAAAAUAACAUUUCCAACAUUUCUGCAAAGCAAAAGUCAAACAACUUCCAAGUUGUCUAAUGGGGAUCACACAGCAGGCAGCAUCUGAAACGGGCUGAUCUCCAGGUGGACACAUUUUUGGUGGAGAAAUUUUGUUUAGAAUUGAUCCAUACUGAGGGAGGUUUGAAAUUCUGGGGCACUUGGGUGACAGCUCACUUCUUUCUUCUCGUGUGUGUUUUAAAUAAAAUUUAUGUUUUUCUAACCUGUUGCAUAGCUGGAUAGUGAUAAUACAGUGCAACUAUUAUUCCUUCUCAAGGGUAUGUGAUGACUUGAUUAGGAAUGACAAGUAUUUAAGAGUUGUUAUUUAGCAGUGGAUAAAGCAGCAAUCUUAUUCCCCACCCUGCUCUGAAGUUAUGUUCUGCAUAUUUUUUAUCCCUCUCCAGAUUUGACGCUUAUUUUUCCAACAAAAUCUUAUCUGUCUUUUGGUGCAGUGAAAAAUCUUUCUUCAUAUUAAACAGCACAGGGUGAAUCAGACCUCAUUCAGCAGCACAUCAUCUGUAAGUGAUGGAAAUAGCUGUAUGAAGCCAAAAUCUAGCAACUGACAAUUGACAGACUGGCAUGAACAAGACCAGCACCUGGAUUUCUUACCAGACAGGCAGUUUACUGACUUCUCUCAGCCUGCUUGACCACAAGUUUCUAUAACAAACACAAUGGCUGGCAUGCACUUGAUAUUGAGCAAGUGUCAUUUUCUGUUGAUAUUCUCAUUUAAUUUCCAUAUGUUGGCAGAAACAGAUGGAACUGGAUUUUCUUGCAAUUACUAUGAGUCUAGGGUAACAACUCUUAAAUUUGCCUCAGAGUGGAAAGGUACAAUACAAAUAUGCGAAAACAGGGUGACAGCCUGGACACUAAAAUACAGAAACACGACUUAACUGAAUCUGGUUCAUGAUUCAUUGAUUAGGCUACAUGAUCUGAAGGGAUCUCAGGAAGCUUUAAAUAAUUUUUACAGAAUAUGAAAUUAGGUAGGGGUAAAGCUGCAGUGCCCUAACGUCUCACUGCUAAGAAUUUUAAAAGAAAACUGUUAGUUAAGUGAAGUCUGUGGGGAUUUAAGUUUUUUUUUUAAAAGUUAUUUUGUUUUCUAAGAAAGCUCUUUUAUUUUGGAAAUUGCAACAUCUGUUCCCAUCUCUUUUGUUCUAAUUCCAACGUGUUCUUUUGAGAUCACAACACCGAAAAUAUCCACAAAGUAGAAAAUGUGUUUUAAGCAUUUAUUUCUUUUUAGAUUCUUGACUUUCUGGCUCAGAGUUUCAAAAGAGUUAUGUAGUCUUAAGCCUAAAAGCCUUAUUUAUUGGAAUGGGAAUUUAAACAGAAAAUAAAGGGGUUUAUAUGCAAUUGAUCAGCCAAAAUGUUACUAAACUGAAGCUUAAGGGACUAGAAAACCCAGCAAGGGAACCUGGUAUGAUUAUCAGUUUUAGCUACAAAAGGGUUAGCACAGAAACUGGAAAAUUAUAUUAUUUUGAGACGACAUGAAAUCAGAUAGAGAACACAUGUCGAGUCUUUAAGGACCCAAUCCAGCAGAUUCUUUUGUACCUGCUUAAGAACCACAAAAAUUAUCAAUUGAAUGCAUUAAGUGGGGAAGAGAUGUGCUUUCAGGUCUAGGUGGAGCAGUGUAAGAAACUUCUGCCUUUCCUCUUACUGUUGUUUAUUCUCACCCUGAAUAGUGAACUGCCUGCACAGUUCACCUGUGUGAGCAGGCAGUGGACCUGUGUCUAGACCAUGUCAAUGCUAAGUCAGCCAGCCUAAGUCAUCCUCACUGUUUCCAGAAGGGCUGCUUUAGAGCUAACCAUAAGGAAAGGGGAAGGACAUUGCAAAGACUAAACAGAGCCUGGAUUCAUACCAGCUGCAUUUCCUCAGAAGAAACAUUAAUUUUCAUAACAGGAGAAUUAUUAGUUCCUAAAAUAAGUAACAUUUGGAAGAUUUAUUUGCUAUCUGGUUUAAAAAAUAGAGUAAAUAGUAAAAAAUAAGAUGUAAAUAACAAACCACAUGUACAAGAAUUUUCAACCAUAGUAGUUGAAUUUUUCCCACUUGCCACAGUUGUUUCUGAAAAUGGAUUAUUUGUUUAAAUAGAGAAUGGUUCAGACCAAAUAUAUAGUGUUUUUUUCUUCAACUAAGUUGAUGUAAAAUUGUAGCUGAGGUUUUGCCAUCCUUCAUGAUUUAAGGAAGUGAAAAACAAAGACAUUUCUUGCAUGUAGAGGAAUUUUAUGUAUGAUAAGCAAAAUGUUAUGGUGAUUUAUUAAACAGAAAAAAGGGAGAAGGAAGGCAGCAGGGAUUUGGCACAAACAUUUGCAGCUCCAUUUCAGUAAUGAUAGACCAAAGCUGCAAAAUUCAGAACCGGAAUUAAGACAGAAAGUCUUUAGAUGGAGUUUUGUUUCAGUCUGCUAUAGCAGUGUUGGCCAGGAACAUAAUUUGGGUCUGGAUGGCUAUGUACAGGAUCUGCUAGGUUUGAGUUCAUUCUUAUCCCGGAUCUUGGCUAUAGGCAUUUCAUUGAGGAUAACAGUUGCACAUUUCUUCACCGUGAUUUUCCCCACAAUAUGGUAAAGAGUUUGAUUUGAAUAUAAGCGAUUUUUUCUGCAAAGAAAAAUGAAACUUCUUAAAAGAAGCAGUCAAAAACUGAGAACCACCAGAUUUCACCAGCUGUUCAGGCUUGGCAUAUAUGUAUUGGAUGUGUUAUUCCUGGGAUUCCAGGUGGGCUGGAUUAUUUGGUUGCUGCCAGGUAACUGUGAUUUAUUUCUCCCAGUCUUUCUCUAAUCACAACCCUUUUUUAAUCUGCCUUUUUUUUUUUUUUUAAUUAUUUAUUAACUGUUUUGUUUGCUCAGUAGCUGACAGAUGUACUGUUGACUCUGUGAUACAUGCUUCUUGAAAGAAUAUGAGUCAAUGUCCAGACCCUACCAAUCAGAGGCACUGAGACAUUAUGAAAUUUAUAGUUACAUUAAACAAGCUAUUAGACUAAUACUAAGAGAAACAUAAUACUGUAAUCAAAGACUCUUACAAUACUUCUCAUGCGAAGAAAAUAACUCAGGCUUAUUCCUGUAAAUAUAGAUAACAUCAAUAACCUUGACAAAGUCAAAGUUUCUUAUUUCCAAUCUUGUCUAGCGUUAAAAUUCCUAAUCACCCAUAAUAUUAUUGUGUAUCCUUUUAGAAUUUUUCAGUGCUUCAGUGUUGUAAGGACGUGAUGUGCCCUGUCCAUUAGUGGAAAUUCUGCCGCCAGAGAAACAGCUCCUGCUCUUUGUGAAGCUCUAUCAUGCAAAUGCCUUUGCAUUAACACAGUGCAUUACAUGUGCUAGGGCAUUAUGGAACUAAGAUCAGGGAACCAAGAAAUUUUUCUUAGAGGGAUCAGUAAACAUUAUGAAUACCUUCUCUUGGAUUCCACCAUUUGGGAAAAGCAAAAUUGCAUUUAGGCACUUCAUGGGUUCACCUAAGCAGUUCUCGCUGCUUCUGAACAGGGUAUUUUCUAACUUAGACAAAUUUUGUGUGGUGUGAAAUCUCUCUUUCGGAAAGCAUUCCUACAAGGAAUAUUCCUGUUCAAUAGUAUUGAUGUUCACGCUUUCACAUUCAUGGUUCUGUUUAAAUUCUGUUGAAGCCAAAGGGAUUGGGGUACAUGCUUAAAGUUAAGAAGUUUGUAUUUUUUUUUUUUUUUUGACUGGUUUUGAGAAAGAAAAUCCUAAGUCUCCAGGAAAAACUUAAAUGUAUUCCCCCUAGGAGACCCAAAUAUCAGCCUGAAGAGAUGGAUCAGAACUUUACAAAUGCAUGAUUAGUGCUAGGAUUGUUAAAUUAAUACUAUUUUUAAGUAAUUUUCUUUCAGAAAUGCUGUAAAAAUGAAGGGUUCAAUUUUUUAACUUCUUAGCUUUAAAGUUAAUGUUAAAAACCUUUACAUUUAGUGGAAAGCUGUUGAGUUUUCCAACACUUCUUGCUUUUGAAUUGUUAAUCAAAGUUGUAUAAAAGAUAAUAAUAUGAUUGCAAAUAAUUUAAGAUUGACUCAUCAGGCUCCCGUACACUUUCACAUUUUCACAUGGCAAAAGAACAAAGGAUAAAAUAAUGAAACAUAAAAGCUAAAAACAAUUUCAAGGGAGUGGAUUCUGCCAGUUUUCACUUAAAAUUCUUGCUGAUGUUUCAGUUCCACAGUGUGCAAGCGAAGUUGUAUUUGAAUGCACAUGGUCUUAUCUUGAAAGUUUGUAUUUUCAGUGUCUCCUUGUACUCAUCCACGUUUGAACCAAAUUCAGUAAUUGCAUACUUAAAAACACACCUCUGUAUUCAUGAGCCCGGUGAUCAUUUGCUCUUGUGAAUACAGGUAGAGACAUGAAUAAAAAUGCAUUUCUAAAACUGGAAAUGAGAUCUAGAGAUGUUGCUAAGUGUUUUAUCUCUCUAAGAAAUCACACAGACAAGGUUACUUUUGGAGAAAGUAAUAGCUUAAAGCUCUUACCCUAUUUCUGCAGGCAUGCAAAUCUAUACAAAAGUCACGGAGUUUUACCAACCUCUUUAAUAAUAAAUUUUGGUAGCCCUUCUGAUGAGAAACAAUUCAGAAGUUGGUGACUAAUUGAAAGAUAGUAAAUAUGGGAAAGAAUGCCAAUUAUUUCAAUAGUUUGUUGUAAAGUCUGGUAGAAAAAUAUUCUAUUACAGUGUAGUUUGUACAGCUAAGCAUAAAUGCAGUCCUGAGGUACACAUUAUGCAUUAUUUUUCUUGAAAACUGUAGUACCUUCAUUGCUUUUGCAUCAAGGGUUAAAUUACUGGUAUUUUUUUAACUCACAGCCAAUGGCCUUCUUUUAGCAUUCUAUCCUUUUUUUCUUUUUUUAGCAAUUGUUAGAAGGAAAAAGGUGACAGAGAGGAAUUUCCAGCCUCCUAAAUUCUCUCUCGUUCUUGACUUUUGGACUCUGAAGCCUUAAAAUCGUUGCUGCCUGUGUCUCCCGGUUAGGUCAGCUGUUUUCACAGAGGACAUUACACACCCCACACAUCUUGCCCAGUGACAACAGCUACAGCAAUCCUGCUGCUAGAGUUGUAACACACGUCACAUACGCAGCUGGCCUGAUUCCCCUUCAGAAGGCUUCCUCCCUAUUAUUGACACUCUUAUUUAUCCCCUCUGCUUCCUACGUUUGCUGUUUGAUCCCUAAGAAGAAAAACAACCACUCUGCAGGCUACUGAGCAAAGAUCCACAGUGUCUGUGAGCCAGAAGAGCCAACUUCAGCAGCAGUGUUCACAAAAUACAAAAGCAGACAGUGUCUUCCAGCACCAGGCACCUACUGGAUUUUGUCCCCUGUAUGACAAGUUUAUAAGAGUUUUAAUUACUGAUGUACAGGAUGAUGCUGGUGUUUAAGGAGCAUCCGCAUAGUUGCAGUUACAGCUGCUUGGACCUGGCGUUUUAAGUUUAGGCUCCGGCCUGGUGUGAUGGCUUGACCAGAGCUGUGGAAAUCUCAUUGGGGCUCAGUGUUUUCCUGAACAAGAGAAGGAUAAAAAGGAACUGGCUGAAGUCCUGGCCACCAGUGCUCUCUCUGAUGCAGCUCCAUCUACAUUAGGAAUUCUCUUGCUCAGACCUUCUGUGUAAUACAUAUGUGUGUUAACACUACAGAUAAAAAACCCUGCUGCAUGUAUCCCCUUAACAGCACUUUGACUAGGAUUUAAAAAUAGUUGUGCUUCAGAAAGUGAACUUAAGCUGCAAAAUGGCAAGUAGUUAUCUAAAUAAGUUACAGUUGAAGUAGGCAACAUUCAUUCAGAUUUGCAAAUAGAUGUAUAUGUUUACAGAUGUAGGUACCCCAGAGACAUACUCUGGAUUUUUGUACCUCUAAUACAAACAAGUGUUUAUACUAGGGGUAUUAAAAAGUUCCUUUUGAUGGCAACUCUGCUGAUGCACUUGCAAUGCAGAUAAAUGUGCAAGUCAUGCAGUCAGAAGCUAUUGUCAUGUGUAGCUAUGACAAGAGAGAACUUGCUUUACUCAGAGGACAAAUUACAUAUAUAUAUAUAUAUAUACACAUAUAUAUAUAUAUAUACAUACAUCUCUAGUGAUCUUUAACUUCCAGCUGGAAAAAUUUCACUUCCCUGGGGAGCUUGUUCCAGUGCUUGACCACCCUGUCAGUGAAGAACUUUUUUCUGAUUUCUGAUCUGAACUUCCCGUGAUGCAGCUUUAAGCCAUUCCUUUAUGUCCUGCCAGUGGACACCAAAGAGAAGAAACCAACACCUCCCUCUGCCCCCUCACUGGAACAUUGUAGACAGCAAUGAGGUCACUCCUCACUCUCCUCUUUUCUAAGCAGAACAAACCAAGUAUCCUCAGCUGCUCCCCAUGAGUCAUGCCCUCUAGUCAUUUCACCCUCUUUGUUGCUCUCCUUUGGACACACUCUAAUAUUUUUAUAUCCUUCUUACAUCAUGGACGCCAAAACUGCAUGCAGUACUUGAGGUGAGGCUGCACCAAUGUUGGGACAAACACUAAUUUCAAACAGUUAGCUGUACUAUGCUUAAUGCACCCCACCAUACAGCUGCCUGUUUUGUCUGACAGGACACAUUAUUGACUCAUAUUGAGCCCACAAAUCCCUUUCCACAGGGAGCACUUCAACUUCUUGUCUGUAUGUACACCCAGGAUUACAUUGUCCCAUGUGCAGAAUCUGGCAUUUGUUCCAGUAACUGGUUUGUUGGGUUGUGCAGCAUUUAUGUGGCAUUAGUUCUUGUUAAAUUUUGGUGUUUGGCCUUUUACAGUUUUGCUGUUUUACAGUUGGCCUUUGGGCUUGUCUGCCUUUUGUCUCUUUUCUUUCUUGCUGAGAUCGGCUCUUUGGGACUAGGGUGCUCUCCUCCCUGGGACUGGCUGUUCAGUGUGACUACAGUUCCAUGAAAGAUUGCACUGAAUAUCAUUUAUUUUAUUUAAUUUUAGAUACAUGUUAUUAUUAGCAGUAUAUUAUUACUAUUAUUAUUUUGUUGUCCUGUUAAAUUGUUUUUAUCUCAGCUCACGAAUUUAUCCCUUUUUGGUGCUUUCCCUGUCUUAGGGGUGAGGAGGGAGUGAGCAAGCAGCUGUAAUGGUUCUUAGCUGCUAGCUGGAGUUAAACCACAACAGAAAGUUUAAUGGGGACUGCCCUUUACAGCAAAUGAACUGCCUACUAAUUUGUCUUAGGCUAAUGAAGAAAUUUCCUUUUCCUGUGUCAUCUGCAGCUUGCACAAAGGAUAUUAAGAAAAUGACAGUUUUAUCACAGUGUUGAUAAUUUUGUUCCUUAGUGCUUGCAAGGACACAGCAUGGAGUCAAACUGUUAGCAAGCUGCCCUGAGAGUAGAAAAGCCUAAAUUUUGUGUGCCUACUGGGUUUUUCUUCAUGAAUCAUAACAGCUGGCACUAAAUAACUCCUGGACUACAUCUACUCCAAAUAGCUCCUUGGGUGGACAGUAAGAUCCAAAACAGAAUUAUUUUUCUGCCUGUCUGAACUUACAUGGCUGAGCAGACCUGUGUAGUUAAGGCAUACCGAUUUCUGAAGAAAACAUCACACGGUGGACUGAUGUGGCUACAUUCAAAUGCUUGAUUUUCUAGGCCAGAAGUCCUUUAUGCAUGAGUCAGUUGUGUUUAGCCUUUGACACAUGGCAACAGCAAGGCUCAACCCGGACCUGUAGUGAGGAGCUUGCCCACUCCACCAUUCUACCCUUUCUAUCUUCUCCAGAAUGAGUUAAUUCCAGAAUAAUUACUCCCGUCAGUAAGAGUAGCCAUUAUUUUUGAAUAACAGAGAGGGUAUCCACAUUGGCAAAAUAUUACAGAAGAACCCAGUUAGACUGGAAUAACUGCAGUGAAAUAAAUAUUCUACUGUAGGCUCAGUUGGAAUGUCUCACACUCAAGGCUUUAGAAAUACAACUAUAAUUUAAACAAACUUUCCUAACAUAAGGUUUAAUGACAACAUGCUUUUGUAUGCAGGUUUGUCCUGUUUCUGAAUGGGCUGAGCAUUUUUGGUGGACUUGUUUUGUAUUACAAUGGUGAAGCAUAAAAGAAGUAUGUCUAUAUUCUGUGUGCUUAUACCUACGUUCCAUUUCUGCCCAUGAUGUACACUAUGGUUUUACAAAUUCUGGAUUAAGCUUUCAUCAGGUAUUGCCAAUCAUCUGAACCAUGAGAUGUCAUAGAUUAUGGUUUAAAAAACCUGAAUCGAAUAAAUACGUCAUGGGAUCUGCUGCUGUUCUUAGCUAGGCUAUUAUUUAUCCUGCUGCAUUGAUAAAUGCAAAAUAAAUAAAUCCCCCUCUUUCACACAGGAAUAAUAAUGGAAUCAUUUAUAAUAGCUUUAUAUGUUAGUGUUGGACAGGAACAAGGAAGAUGGUUGUCUGCAGAAUGACUUGACCUGGAAGCAUCAUCCUUCAGUCAAAGAGGUUAACCAGAAGACCCUGAGCAUUUACCUAAACUGGCAGAGAAAAAGUUAUGUUUAAUCUGUGUUGCACUUUUCACAUUGAUUCAACAGACUGGACAUGCCUUCUAAAUGCUCUCUAGCACUGAAGCCCAUGACAUACCACACUUAACAAGGCUCUAACAGCAUUUCCACUGUAACAGAACUAAAACACAUGGCUUGUAACAUAACUUUGACACUUACAGCACUCGUGAGCUUGGACAUGGUGCAGUGGGUAAGCAACAUGUGGUAACCACUCAUCAUGAGCAAAUGAGCAGAAAAGCCCCAUCUUGACAUGGCUUAUUAUGUCUAGAAGCUGCAAAUGCAAUUGUUAGGCAAAAUUCAAUCCAUUAUUAUUAUGUACAUUUUUUAAUGUAAGGAUAUACAAUGUACUUCUCCUAGUUUUCUCUCAGGGUUACUCAGAGCAAGGUCAGAUCAUUUAGUAAUGUGUUAGCAUCCCACAAUAGUUCUGUAGAUGGUAGCAGAAUCACAAAAGGUAGGAUAGAAAAUGUAUAGCUAAUACAAGUAGGUAUUCAAGUACAUGCAGGGUUAAAACCUUGUUACAAAACAACUUGAUUACUGUGAAAAGUAGCACACUUUUUUUUUUUUGGCCAGGAUUAGUGAUUUAAUAAUCAGUUAUCCUAAUUUUAAUUGUUUCUUACUGAAUGUUUCCUCUAAUUUACAAUACUCUUAGUACUGUAGUGUGCAUUAAGUUUUACGCACAAAAAGGUUAAAUGAGCUGAAACCUGACCCUUUUCCAGAUAACAUCACCAGGAAGAAGAAAACCCCAAAACCUGUCCUAACCCUGGGAACACGAGAGUCCAAGUACCUGUUUCCCAAUACCUGUAAAAAUUCCCUGGUAGAAGUAAACAUUUCUAUCCAAAACCCUAACAUGUAGAGGUAUUUAGCACUCAUGAAAUCACUCACUUUCAUAUCCACUUUAAUAAGUGGCUGUGAUUUACAUAUGAAAUAUAUCUGUACUAAAUUUCCACAUAAAUUUUUUCCAGCAGCAUGCAAAACCUUUUAGUUCCACACUGUGCACUCCUAUCCUGAUCCUCCACCUGGCUGUGGUCCUUUUUAUGUGGGAACAUUAAACUAAUUUUACUUGGAAUGUACGAUGGUUUCUCAAGAUGAUGCACCUGAUACUAAAAAGCAGUUCACAAGACUUCUUAGGAAGACAGAUUGUUCCCUAGAGGCUCCUUCUGCUUUGUAUUACAGCUCAUAGUCUUGCUUUUAGCCUCAGCUCAUCUUUGACAGCCUUCUGCUUCACAUUUGGCAUCCUUGUGACAUCUACAAAAUGACUUGAGGGUCAAGAAGUCAACUGGCUUCCUCAUAUGCUUCUGCCAUUACUAGUGGCUGUGCUCAGACCAUAAGGAAGGGGAGUGGGUUGUCUGUGAGACACAGAAGAAGAGAGAAUGAGACAUGAUGAUGGCACAGGGAAAGAUUCAUUUAAACUUUUCUUUUUACCUGGUUUUGUAGUAUAUCCACCCAGACACAGCCCUCCUUUGUCUGAGCACAGCUUAGCAUUGCUGCAGGUUGCUUGUUAGCUCAUUCAAAGCUUGUAACAUGAUGAUGUUCUCCACACUGGAAAUGUGUUGUUUCUUGGCAUUGGUAGAUUGAAACCUCAUUCAGAUACAUAAUAUUAUUGUGCGGCAGUGCAAGGCCAGUUCCUGGAGUGCAGCUACAGAUGAAGUGCAUUAAGGUAUUUCGUUUGUUAGUCACUGAGUGCCUUUCUGUACAGAAGCUUGAAAUGGGAUGUCUGAAAUGUGAGCCUGGAGGAAGCUUGGCAUGAAACAUUUUACUUAAUGAAAAGGAUUUAAAGAAAUAUGAAAGCAUUAUGUUUGCUAUUAAAAUGUAGGUAAAACACUGCUUUGCAGUGUUCUGCAUGUAAGCUGUAACUCCAACUGGGUCCUGAACCUUUAGGAACAAAACUGAAUCUAAAUCUCCAGUUUAUGCUGUGCUGAGUAUCUCAGAUUAAUGUAAAUCCACAUUAUCCUGCUUGCUGUAGCUGGGAUGAUUUGGGUUAUGAAUGCGGUCAUACAAACAGGUUUGAAAGAGAUUUAAAACAAGCUGAUGAAUAGAGCAAUCAGAAAGCCAUGUUAUCAGAUACAAUCUGAUUAGAAAUUUAUACACUGCUGACAUACAGAAAACAGCACAUACUGUACGGCACAGCAGAGCCAACAAGUGCUGAGGUUCUUUCAGAUGCAACAAAUCAAAUAUGAUGUAAAGCUAAAAGUCAUUCAAGUUAGUGUGGGCUCCUGAAAAAUUCACACUAUAGAUGUUUGCUCUAACACUUCAGAUUAUUUUUUCUCUGUUUGAAGUCUUCUUGCUCAGCCUGUGCACUCAAAGGGUGACUCUGCUGUGGGUAUAAGGUAACACAGGCAUUCUGCUGUAAUUAAUGUCCUGUUGCAGGGCAUGAAAUUAAAGCAAAGUGUUUUGUUAUCUCAUGUGGCAGAAAUAAAUGCUGUAAACAAAUGUGUUUAUUGAACAAUUCAUUUUGGGGGAUUUCUUUGUUUUUUCCUUCAGGGAGACUUUAGUUUAAACCCAUGCACACUGGAAAUUCAACAAACUUGUAUUACUCCUCAGUGUCUCUAUUAUACCAGUACCAGGUCUUUUAUCAAAACAAAAGAUAAAUUGUACUGCCUGUAGUAAAGAUCACUAUGAAGACAUAAUUCCUUCAUCCAAGAACUUUUAAACAUCUACAGGCUCUAUUAUUGAAUGAUUGGGAGGUUCUUCCACGGCUGUGAAGAUUUACAAACAAAAUGUUUAUACAAGCACUGCCUGCAUUUCAUACCCAAAUUUAACAGAAGCAUGCUAAUAAAAUAAUAGUGGUCAUCUUAAAAAGGAAAAGGCUACUAAGAAGUCAGCAGAGAUUUACCAAGGGAAGAAUCAUCCCUAAUGAAUCAGAUUACCUUCUAGCAUAAACUGGCUGGAUUUGUGGGAAAAAAAAAAACAACAAUGGAUGUAAUUUACUUUGCUUACUUUAAAAAAGCUUACAACACUGUCUUCCACAAUGUUCUUGUGUUUGAAUUGGGAUAUUACAUCCUGGAUGAGAUGACAACUAGAUGGGUAAAAACUGGCUGCACAGGCUUGCUCUGAGGGUUGUGGUUAAUGGGUUGUGCUGUACCUGGAGGUGGGGAAGAAGUGGGGUACCACACCAUCUAUCCUGGAGUGAGUCCUGUUCAAUAUUUCUGCUGGUGAUAUUAAGGAGAGAACGAAAGGCAGGCACGCCAACUUUGCAGAGAAUACCAGUCUGGUGACUGGAGGGGAACGCAGCUGGGAGGAAGGGUCUGAUAGAAGCAUGGAUUUGACCAAGACCUACCCUUGGAAAGCAGAGCCUUGCAGGAAUGCAGGCUGGGGCUGGCAGGGCCCGGACGUACCUCUGGAGGGUGGCCUUGGGCAUUGGUAUGAAGCGAGCUGAGCUGGGGCCAGCCAUGGGCCUGGACAGCAGUGAUGGACAGCAGCACUUGAGGUGGUGUAAGCAGGACAUGGCUCUAAGAUUCGAGCAAGGGCAGGGACUGUCUCUCCUGCUCCACACAUGUCAGACCUCACCUGGGUACUCUUUUGGUUUUGGGCCUCCAUUGCAGGAAAAAUGCCAAUAAACAUGACCAAGCUACUGGGCUGGAGCCCUUGUCCUUGAAGAGAGGCUGUGGGAGGAUGGAUGGCUUCAGGGGUACCCAAAAGCAUCCCUGGCACGGAUGGGAGGGGAUGGAGAAGAUGUAGUUGGGCUUUUCACAGCAGUGUGUAGUGGGAUGGUAAGAGGCGGCAGCACAGCUGAAACAGAGAGGCUUGGCGUGGAGAUUGGGAGAAGCCUUUUCUCUAUGAGGACAGCCCAGAAGUGGAGCCAGAGUCCAUGGAGUUUGGGUUAUCUCCAGCCUUGGAGGUUUCAAACCCUGACCGUGUGAAGCCCUGAGCAGCCUUGUCUGAGCCCAGAGCCGGCUCUGCUAUGGCUGGCUAAUAGACCUACCAGUAUGUUCAAAGGCAUCACCUUGAAGAGACUCCUUUUCACUGAGUCAAAUCGGUCAUCCUUAAGAAGGAUGAGGAGGAGUCAGCCUGCUUGACUGGAGCAAGGUGUGGUUGGUUACUGCUUUUCUAGAGCUAUUGGAAAUGUGAAAGCUGUUAUGAUUCUGUAAGAGGCCACUAAACUUUCUCUGGGUCAUGUCCUGAAUUCCACGCUGAGGGAUGUUUUCAGCAGUUACUUGAGCUGAUAUGGCCCAGUGCCUUCUCUCAUAAAACGAUCUGGCAUCAAGACACAGUUAAAGGCCUGAUGUAACAUAUUUUCCACCACACAGGCUUGCGCCACUCUUCUUUGUGAAGCCAACAAAGGCAAAAAAACUGUGGCAGAAUGAAGCCACAAAAAGUGGCUCUCAGGAAAGACUUCAGGGCCUUGGGAUGGUUGGUAAAGGAGUCUGGAGCACAGUUGUUUUUUGCUCUCUCCUUCCAGUUGCGAGCCAUGACAUUCAAAGAAGCAGAUCCAGUCUAUUAAUACAUGGAUCCAUGGCUGGUGUCACAGCCACCUUUUUUUUUUUUCCUAAAUGUUGAUAAUGGGUUGGCCUACAUGGCACCAGGUUUGCUGGCAUCAGAUGGCAGUCACCUUUCUCAAAGUGGGGAGAAGAUCUUCUCUCAUGAGCUAGUGGGGCCCAUUGACAAAGUUUUAAACUAGACAUGAUGGGGGCAGGGGUUGAUAUCAGGCUUGUUCUUGACAAGCUGUGGGAUGAAAUGCCAAGUUUAAAGGGCUGGGGUGAUAGUGAGAACCCUCAGGCAGUGUCUCUGACACCUGUUGUCCACACUGGAGCACAGGUGAAAACAGGAGCUCCUGAGGUAACAGAAGACAACAAGGAAACACCAGUGCAAUAAUUCAAAAGAAUUAAGGGGUGUUGCUCUAAGAAGGUGACAUGGCAAACAGCCUAGAUGAAGUGUGUCUACACCAAUAGAUGCAGCAUGGUCAACAAACAGGAAGAGCUGGAAGCUACCAUGCUGUUAGAAAGCUAUGACUUAGUGGACAUUAUUGAAACUUAGUGAAACGAAUCCCAUGACUGGAGUGUGGCUGUGUCUGGCUACAGGCUGUUCAGAAGGGACAGUCAAGGAAGGAAGCAUGGAGGGGUUGUCCUCUACAUCAAAAGAUGGGUAGAGUGUGAAGAGCUGUCUCUGAAGAACAGCCGUGAGCACGUUGAAAACAUGGGUAAGAAUUAGAGACCAAGGCAACAAAGGGAACCUUGUGGUUGGUGUCUACUACAGGUUAGUGGCAUUCAAUGCUUUGCUACUUCAAGCUGUUAAAAACAUGGCAACAAUAUUAUUCUGGUACAUAAAGAGAAACAAGUGUAAGUAAACUUAAAGUAUAUGAAAAAUGACUAGAAGGAAUGAAUGAUAACUGCAUAUUUCACAGAAAAAUGCAAGGAAAGGUCUCAGUUGGGGUUUGACCUUGUGGUUUACAGGCAUACGGUUAUUUUAUUUUUUUAAAUCUAAAGCAAUAGUGGUUGUGUUUUAUGUGGUUUGUUGUUGUUGUUUGUUGUUGUUGUUGUUGUUGUUGUUGUUGUUGCUGUUUUCCUAGUAAGAAGAUUCAGACUUCCAUUGGAACAAACGCUGUUCGAAGACCAGUGCAGUUCUCACUGGAACGGUUCAACUCUGUUAGAUCAGAUCAAGAAUGAGCAGAAAGCUUGCUCCAUCUGAGCAUAACAGAAGUCUUCUAAUCGUCAGAAAAAGAAAGAGAGACUUAAACCUGUUCCAUGCAAAAAGUAAGACAGGGUAAUACUGAUAAUUGCUAAAAUGCAAUGGAUCUAUUAUUUUAUUAAGGAGGGACAUUUACUGAUCUUUGCCAUUAAACCCCUAACUAGAAUUUUAAUACAAUACAACAGACUUCAAAAAUAAAAGGGCAGUUCUUGUUGGUGAGUGAUUUGCACAAUGGGUGGGAAUUCUGUUUCUUGUAAUAAAUUUGUUUGUUGCCACCUGAUGACAGAUCUGACCACCAUGUAUAGACAAUUUCAGAAGGAAAGCAGCAAGACACAGAUCUUCUGUAGAACCACAACCUGUGCGUCAGUUGGGGAGGGAAAAAAACCCCAAGCAGCUGGAUGUUGUAGCUCAGUGCAAACACCCAAGUGUUGUAGAAAUCAGAAUCACUUUGUAAGAAAAAGUACUCAUUGCAGAAGUUGAAUUUGUGAGGUUAUGGCUGUGGCAAACAUUUUGCAUAAAAUCCAUGCUGUUUGAGAAUACAAACUUCACAAGAAACAUUUUACAUAUCCAACCAAAUGAGUUUUUAGUGGAUAGGUUCUGUGUAAUGUAAAUUGUAUGUCAACAGGCAGAUGUCUGAAGUAAUGAAAACGCUCUGGGUGCAUGCGUCUUGUAGUUAUAAUAAAUAAGAGUGAUAAAGUUUUGCUAUUACAUGCCAAACCCCUAUUCUAGUAUAUAUUUCCAACAAAAAGUGUGUGGAAAUAAUCAAACCAUAAGAACAUUAAAUUUUUACAAUAACUUAAGUUCAAUAAAACAGCUCACAAGUGCCCUCCACAAGAACAGAUAUUUACUACAUAUUGGUGCUGAUUAAAUAUUAUAUUUAAUACAUGAUUCCUCACAUGAUGAUGAAAAUGGCUUCCAUCCUUGCUUAGUCUUUGUGUCAUUAUUUAAUUAAUAUAUGCUGCCUUGCAGUCUUUACAGGAAAACCACAUUGUUACUUUUUUAAAACUGUGUAUUUGAGCAGAUGGGAUUUACAUUUGUGUUCCAGUAAGGUUUCCAUUAGUUUUUAUUAGAAUUAUAGCCACAUGGAGUUGGGAUGGGAAAAACUGGAAUCCUGCUGUUUUCCCUUGGCUGUCCAUCAGCGCAAAGUUCAAUCCUUACCUCAGGACUAAAGAAGGAGACAGAGGGCAGCCCAAGCCUUGGGUUCCUCCAAAAGAUUGAGCACAUGGGCUGUGGAUGUAAAAGGAGUCAUCCUAGACCCUGUAUUAUACCAAUUUUGCCUUUUAUCUCUCUACCUAGAUGUAAAGGUUGGAGAAUGGCCUUGGGGUCUCUCAUCCUCUUGGGGAAUAGCAAUGUUAAGGGCUUAUCCCUCCCAGCCACAGGACAGCUGGCUCUGCUUUCAGUUCUGAGCGAGCACAUAGUGACUGCCCUGCACUGGAGAUUCAGCCCAGGAGUGCAAGUAUCACCAAGUAUCUUAUGUUCAUCUCUGUUGCACUCAUUUCUGUGAUCCAGUAUCUCAGCCACAACAGAUAUUCACUAUGCAAUGGGUGGGAUCUAGCAAGGAGGUAAAGCAUGGAGCAGAAAUAUAGUUCUGGGAGGGAACUGUGUCACAAACAGUCCUCAUCACAAAAACAGCACACAAGGGUUGUACUCUUUGCUGAAACUCUGCAAUGCUGCUGAAGUCUCUUCUGUCUGCUGUAAAAAAUGAAACAGAGAGCACGUUACAGAAAAAAAAUAGCUGGUGGGCUUCCUUUCAAAAACAGUUCCAGAAAUGCCUCCCCCCAGUUCACGCACAGUGUUACCGUUUCAUCCAUCACCUCUCCUGGCAAGGCUGAAGAAGAGAUUGCAGCCAGUCCUCUCUUCUGAGGGUCAGCUGGUAAAUAAUGAAGUCAGAUUUUGGCUUGCUAGCUGACUGAAUCACCCCAAGGGGAAA